GGACUUCGUUUCCCACAAUGCCUUGGCGCGAAUUCGUAAUUCCUGCCGGGGUAACUGUGAGGUGGUCGCCAUCUUGCGUACGGAGUGGCGGCUUGUUUCUCGGUUCCUGAGGUCCCGGCUUUCAGUCCCACCCGGUAUCUGUUUGGGGAAGGUCUCCGUGCUUCUUUCACCUACUGUUUUGAGGUCAAUGCAGAACUGUGGUAUAAGAUGCCUUAUGGUGAAGUUGAAGCUAAAUCCAUGGGACAUGAGGAAGAACUACUAAGUGAACCAUGCUCCAAGAAAUUGAAGUCUACUGAAGAGGCAUAUGUUUUCCCCUAUCAUGGUAGUGGUAAUUUUUACAGAAAGCAAGAGAAAACUGGAAGUGAUUGGACCCCUGUAACCAUCACUAAUGUUAGAGGACAUAGUUAUCCUCAGGAGAACAAAACCCAAACUACAGAUUUGCUGAAACCUGCGCAUGAUGGGAUGCCUAGCGACAGACCAGAUGUUAUUGAGUCUGUUGAUUCACAAGUUGUACAGGAUAUGCAUCCUCCAUUGGUAUCCACAGAUGAUGAGAUAUAUAGCACAAGUAAAGCAUUUAUAGGACCCAUUUACAAACCCCCUGAGGAAAAAAAAUGUAAUGACAGGAGGAAUCAAGCAGACACUAUCAAUGGUAGAGAUGGCAAAAGAAAACAAAAGAAACAGAAAUUUAACUCCAAAAAAUCAGAGAUUGACAAUGAAUUGUUCCAGUUUUACAAAGAAAUUGAAGAGCUUGAAAAUGAAAAAGAUGAUUCAGAAAGUAGUUGUAAGGAACCCGAACUCUCUGAGAAACAACUCAUUGCAUAUUAUCAGAGCCCUAAUAAUGAUCUGUUAAAAUCUGAAGAAGAAAAGAAAAAAUAUCUUAGUAAUGGCCUUCAACCACAUUGUGGUUAUCAACAGUGGGUGGGGAAUGAGCCAGGUAAAUACCCUUGUAAUGGACAAAUGAUACCUACAUUUUGUGACGAUUCAUUUACUUCCUUCAGGCAUGAGUGGCAAGCAAUGGAUUCUUUUGUAGUACCACAAGACCCUCAUCUUCCCAGUUUUAACUAUCACUUAAAUAUUGAAAGAUUCAGUGUUCCACCAAAUCCACCGUCAAAUGUUUUCCAUUCCCAGGAUGACUUUGAGAUGCAGAAUGGAUAUUUUAUAAAUAGUUGUCAUGCUAACUGGGAUUGUUUGACUUUUGAUGAGAACAAUGAAUAUACUGACUGCAGUGAUAUCACCAGUAGUGAUCAUCCCUCUAGAAAUGACUACAGUGUGCAAGAUGGGUAUGCGAGUAAUGGUUUCUGUGAAACCAGUGAAGGAUACUGGAAAGAUCCUUCUGUGGAGGAGUGUGAUGGAACAGACAGGUUUAUAAACCAGCAGUUUGAAGAGGAAAAGUUACAUAAAUUGCAGAAGUUACUUAUUCUUUUAAGAGGUUUGCCUGGUUCUGGGAAAACGACAUUGUCUCGAAUUCUGCUUGGUCAGAGUCGUGAUGGCAUUGUGUUCAGCACUGAUGACUAUUUUCACCAUCAAGAUGGGUACAGGUAUAAUGUUAAUCAACUUGGUGAUGCCCAUGACUGGAACCAGAACAGAGCAAAGCAAGCUAUCAAUCAGGGGAGAUCGCCAGUCAUAAUAGACAACACUAAUACACAAGCUUGGGAAAUGAAACCAUAUGUGGAAAUGGCCAUAGGAAAAGGAUACAGAGUAGAGUUUCAUGAACCUGAAACUUGGUGGAAAUUUGAUCCUGAAGAAUUAGAAAAGAGGAAUAAACAUGGUGUGUCUCGAAAGAAGAUUGCUCAGAUGUUGGAUCGUUAUGAAUAUCAAAUGUCCAUCUCUAUUGUAAUGAAUUCCGUGGAACCGCCACACAAAAGCACACAAAGACCUCCUCCACAGGAGAGACAGAGAGAAAGAGAUUUGAAGAAAACUGGGCACAGGUUCAGCAAAGCCAGGAAGAGAAACAGAAAAAGAAGUAAAAAGCAGAACAGUCAUAAUAAAAUCAUGGAGGAAAACUCAUUUGAAACCUUAAAUUAUCUUACACCAGGAGAUCAGGACCCAUCUCAGAGUGAAGAGGAAGACUUAGAAGAGACCAAAAGGGAAUCAGAGUGUUCCUUAACUGUUGGUCUGAGAAAUGAAGUGGGAGAUUUUGUGAAUGUCCAUAAGGAUAAAAGACAGGAAGACAUAAAUUCUGAAAACAGUUUGCCAGAUGUUAUGUCUGUUGUUGAGUUGGACAGUCCACCAAAGAAUUACCUCCCUAAAGAUAAUGAUGACUUGUUUCUAAGUUUGUCAUUGAUGCCAAAUGAAAGUUCUGUUUCUUGUCCAACAGUGACUCAAAAUCUUUCCUGUGUAGCAAGUGAUGACUGUUCUGUUACAGAGGUAGAAAAGUGUAUUGAAAAUAGGAAUAUCAUGACAUUAAACACCCAGGACAAAUUUGCUGAAGCCCCAUGCUUAUUUAUGCAGAAGGGAGAGAUGGUAGAUGAGAGUCUCCUGAAUGAAACAAGUCUGUGCCAUCAAUAUACAUCUGGAACAUCAGAUAAAGUUUUAAGAAAGGAACAAGCAGUAAAUACAACUAAAAACAAUAAUUGGGCUUUUUUCUCAAAUGAUUUGUCUGAUGGUGAUUUACAGUUGGGUUCUGAUAGACAACCCUAUUUUGGUAGCUGGCCUGAGGGGCCUCAUAAGUUUAUAUGUGAACAGAGACCAAAGAAAGAUAGACGGCAAAAGCUGGCUCAUCCUGACAGCAGGGGGCAGUUGAUCAAAUUGAUCUCCACUUCGGAAGGGCCAGGAGACAGUCCAGAAACAUUGAUAGAAGAGAAGCUAUCGAUAGAAAAUGAAGACUUGUCAUCUCCAACUGAGAAUAUAGAUUCAGCUAUAGAAACAGAGACAAAUAUCUUUCAAAGCCACUUCUUUAAACUGGAUAUCCUGAAGAGUACCUUACAUUCAACAGAGAAUAAAAAGAGGCAGAAAAGGAUUUUCAGUCUGGCACCAAACUUUAACUUACUGGGACAGAGUCAUACCAAUGUAAAAGAAAUGGGGAAAUGUGACUUGUUAACAGAAAGCCAAGGACUAAAAAUUAUUUUGGAAGAAGAAAAAGAUGAAAUUUCAGAAGUAAAUAAUGAAGAGAAUAAGCAACACAUUAUGACCUUCGAUUAUCAUCCGUCAUGGUUUUACUUUGACAUUUACUUUGACAUUGUUAAAGAUUCUCUUCUAAAUGUUGGUGGACAAUUUUAUUCUCAUUACCUGCUAUUUAAUAGAGUAAGGCAUUCUGUGUAUUUUUACAGAAACCCCAUUCCUUGUCUUAUGCUACAGUAUCCAUCUAGCUUUUGGAAGAUAUCUUUUUCAGGCAAGAAACUGUUUUCGACUUUCAACUCUCAGAGGAGAGUAGAUGAUAAACUAAAUGAUGUAAGGUUUACUUCUUCAGAAAUUUUAAGUAGCCAGCCUGAUACUUUGUACUCUUCUAGUAUCACCUCUGAUCUUCACUCCUUAAAUCAAAGUUUUGUUGAAAAGCUAAAGACAUGGGAAGAACCUAGGCCUUUACCGUUCCUACAAACUCAGGAUAACCAAGAUUUAACAAGCCCUGACUACUUUGAUUCUCUUGACCUACCAUUAUCACAGGAGUUUGCCUUUCAACUAGUAAAGCUUUUUGGAUCUCCUGGAGUUCCAGUGGAAUCUUUGUUGCCAGAAGACUGUGUGGUUCCCCUCGACCGAAAGACACUAAAGAUGAUCUACCUACAGUGGAAGACUUCAGUAGAGAAAAGACAGAAGAAGACUGGUUAAAAAAAAUGAGAAUUCCUUGAACUGUUCUGCUGAAGGAAGGGGAAAGACUAAAGAUUUGGGAGAAGAGAUUAGAGAUUUAAAGGACCCACAAUGGCAAUCCACUCCAUUGUUCUUGCCUGGAGAAUCCCAGGGAUGGAGAAGCCUGAUGGGCUGCCGUCUAUGGGGUCGCCCAGAGUCGGACACAACUGAAGCAACUUAGCAGCAGCAGCAGAAAAUGUGGGAUAGAUAGAGGAGGGGAAGAGAUUCCAGAGAAAGGACAUGAACAAAUUCAUUCAUUUGUUCAGCAAAUGUUUAUUGAGUUGCCUCAGUUUAGACAUUUUUCUACACACCGAAGAUGUAGCAAUGAAAACUGGCCUCAUGGAGCUUAUGUGAGGAUUGAAGUUAGGAAGCGAGUGUUUACCUUUCCCCUCUGUGUGACAGCAGGAUAAACAGCACACAAUAAGCAUGGGCAUAUUUGGCAGUGGCUAAUUCUGCAGGUCUUUUCUAUAUGCUGAUUGUGUGUCAAGGACACUUUAUGAACCAUACUUUUGACUUUUGUGUUCAUCUUUUACAUUCAUGCUAAACUGACUGCCCUCUGUGAACCUCAUAGAGCAGGCAUCUCUUAAUUAUUAGUCUUCUCUUGUUGGGGAAUUUUAUGAGUGCUGUAGCUAUGUACAAGAUUUUUAUAAUUGUAAUGAGAAUGGGCCUUUUGGUGUGGUCUUUGGCAUAAUGAUCAGUGGGCCUCAAGUGGUAAACAGAAAUUUAAAAAGAAGGAAAUAGCAAGAGAAUGUGGUUGGCUCUUGGAGCCUCAAAUCCUCUUCCUGCUGGUGGCCAGAGUAUUUAUACUGCCUCACUCUUUUAAGGAGGUAGGGCAGCCUGCUGGAAAGAGAAUGGGUUCCCAUCUUGAAGUUCCUGCCGACUGGGUAUGUGACCUUAAACAAACUGCCUUCUCAAAGCUGCAAUUUUUUCACCUGAAAAAAAAAAAAAAAAAAAACUGGUUUAUUAUACUAAUCUGUCAUGGGGAUAUUAAAUGAGGAUUAAAUGAAAUAAAUUGUGCAAAGUUUUUGAAAAAUAAUAGGCUCUUAAUAAGGGUUAAUUCCCUUCCCCUGAGUAUCUUUGUUGGUUGCAGCUUUGAUUUGAAAUGCUCCUGGCACAGCAAUGUAUUGACUUAAUAAACUUGUUAACACAUUUGCAUGAAUUAAGUGUAUUUAUUUUUAACUUUACAGUGUAAAAAGCUGGAUCAUCAGGGAAUGGGACAUAGGGGUUUUGAUUUAGAAACAGAAGAUUGGGCAGAAUCCAGAGGACAGGCUCUUGAAUGAAGCAAGACCAGGCAGGCUGUGGGAGCUGUGGGGACAGUGUGAAAUUCUGGAUGCUGGUUGCAGGGGUGCAUAAAUAGUCAUGAGCUUAGGAAACUGACAACAAACUCCAUUCCUGUCACCAUUCUGUCUGGACUUAUCUGGGCUUGUGUUUGUUUGCAGUUGAAUUCUCCAUCUUCCAGGUACUGUUGAAGAUCCUGAUCAUCAAGAAAGAGAGCUCAGUGCCAACCCGAAGGAUAAUGUAGAGUGAUAUAGUCAUUGGACUGAAAUUGGUUUGAAUAAUCUGUUCAACUAUUCUGAUCAGUUUCCUGAAUACUAAUAAAAAACUCAGCAAAAGAGAGAAAUAAGUUUUCAUUAUUUCUUGGCACCAGAGCUGUCCAAGGAGGUGAAAGGAUGCUUUCCUGAUGUGAUGCAACGAUAGAACAGAGAUGGGGACGAAGACAGUUGCAACACGACUUUCCCAGAGCCCUGAUUUUCAGCACGGAUGAUUUUUUCUUCAGGGAAGAUGGUGCCUAUGAGUUCAAUCCUGACUUCCUGGAGGAAGCUCAUGAGUGGAACCAGAAAAGAGGUGACAGAUUCCUUUCCAAGCUCCUGGGAAAUCCUCUUGUGCACAUAGAUUGUAGCUCCUGCAAAAUGAAAAAAAUUUAUGGAAGGAGCUUAAUCUAAAGUUCUGCCAUUUUUCCUUCUCAAACAGAAUGCCAGAGUGUAAUCUCCCUAGAUUCCAGGAAAAAGAAAAUUAUUGAUAAUGGGUUCUGAAAUAGGUAGUAUUAAAGUUGUGUAAUGAGGACAUCCUGUAAUAAAAAUAACAAAAUAU